rnacentral:rRNA from 1 species
UACGUAGGGUGCAAGCGUUAAUCGGAAUUACUGGGCGUAAAGCGUGCGCAGGCGGUUAUGCAAGACAGAUGUGAAAUCCCCGGGCUCAACCUGGGAACUGCAUUUGUGACUGCAUAGCUAGAGUACGGUAGAGGGGGAUGGAAUUCCGCGUGUAGCAGUGAAAUGCGUAGAUAUGCGGAGGAACACCAAUGGCGAAGGCAGCCCCCUGGGAUAAUAUUGACGCUCAUGCACGAAAGCGUGGGGAGCAAACAGG